AACGGUCUAUACCUGCGGUACCUGCGGAAGGAUCAUUACACAAUAAUAUAUGAAGGCUGCUCGCGGCUGGAGUAUUUAUUACCCUUGUCUUUUGCGCACUUGUUGUUUCCUGGGCGGGCUCGCCCGCCACCAGGACCACAUACAAACCUUUUUUAUGUAGUUGCAAUCAGCGUCAGUAUAACAAAUGUAAAUCAUUUACAACUUUCAGCAACGGAUCUCU
rnacentral:misc_RNA from 1 species